rnacentral:lncRNA from 1 species
CUGCUUUUAGACUGGGGUGCUAGAACAUUUCCUUAGGUUAUACUUUAGCCAAUUUCUUUAUCACUGCUCUUUCAAGCUACAUCUUCCCAAGCAGAAAGCACUAAGGAAAGAAAAAGGCUGAAGAAGAAAGAGCACAGCAUUCCCUUUGAGAGGAAGGAGGAGGAAGGGCAAGAGGAAAGCAGAAAACCACAAAUAUCAACUUCAGGGGACUGAACAGAGAAGCACUUCCCUCAGGCAUAUCAGCUGCACACAGAUGCAAUUCACCUCUUCUACGGAACUCCUACCCUGAGAGAAAAAUCUAAGAAACUGAAGUAUAAAACAGAUUUUUCACACAACGAAACAUAUUUGAGAGCAGUCUCUUAUAGCUGAGAGAGCCAGGGAAGAAGCUGCUGACGUACUCCUGUAUUUGCUGUCUCACUUCACCUCUGUCCAGACCCAGUUCAGCAGAAAUGGACAUUAUUCACCAUGGUUCCUGGUGACAAGGACAACACGUGUGGCUUGCAGUCUUCAGGUCAGACAGCACUUACUGGUCAGAGUUGUGGUCAUCUCCUGAUAGGCCUGCGAGAGAGAAACACCCAGACACAAAGGAACCCAUGGGGACGUGUGUGACUCCCCUCUCCCUACAGGAGCGACAGUAGUUUACCAUGUCUGUCAAUGUCGGCGGAAGCUUUAAAAACUACAGAGCAGCACACGAACAGCGUUCAGGUCAGAGGAUGGGAUAAGAAGCAAGCCAUUAAUUGUAGAGCAAAGUCUCUGCAACAGCACAGAGAGAAGAAAGCUUGCAGCAGGAGCCCAUCUGAGAGCAACUACUUCUCAUAAUUUGUCGAGUUUCGCAAAAACUCCAUGCUCGAUUCUUGUG